UUAAGUCCCGCAACGAGCGCAACCCUUGUCCGCUGUUGCCAUCAGGUAAUGCUGGGCACUCUGCGGAGACUGCCGGUGAUAAACCGGAGGAAGGUGGGGAUGACGUCAAGUCAGCAUGGCCUUUAUGUCUGGGGCUACACACGUGCUACAAUGGCCGAUACAAACCGUCGCGAUACCGCAAGGUGGAGCUAAUCGGAGAAAGUCGGUCUCAGUUCGGAUUGUAGGCUGCAACUCGCCUACAUGAAGUUGGAAUCGCUAGUAAUCGCGGAUCAGCACGCCGCGGUGAAUACGUUCCCAGGCCUUGUACACACCGCCCGUCACAUCACGAAAGCUGGCUGUACUAGAAGUCACCGCGCUAACCCGCAAGGGAGGCAAGUGCCUAAGGUAUGGUCAGUGAUUGGGGUGAAGUCGUAACAAGGUAAAUCCGCGA
rnacentral:rRNA from 1 species